CACCCAGUGAAGUGUGCAUGUGUGCCCUUUGGGCUGGCGUGCAUGCUUUGAAGAAGUGGGGCCUGUAAAUAUUUUCUUGACAUUUAGGAAGUUUAGAGAAGUGCUUGUUACUUUGCUGCCAACUUGAUGACCAUAGCACGAAAAGCACAGAAGAUGUGCGUGGCUCCCUCCCGAGAGCAGCACUGUGGGGUGUUCUUCACCAUACAGCAUGACUUUGGGGUUUGGGGGAGUUGCACUGAUCUAGAAGAGGGAGAAGCUGCAGCUGGGGUGGGGUCUGGGUACUCCUCCCUUCCUGCCGCUGUUGCCCUCUCUGCGAUUUGGAGUGAUGCAGGAACGCGACAUCCAAUUUGCUUUUCCCCAGCGUUGGCUGUGGAGCUGCUCGCAGAGCUUUGGACGUGGGCACCCUGGCUCUAGGUAGCAAGUGUGGUUCAGGACACUUUCAGGUGCCCCUGGCUGGCUUGGCUGUCUUUCAGUGAACCUACUGAAAAUGGAAAAAGCCCGUGUCCUGUCUGUGAGUCAAUCCAGAGCCACCUUGCCCAAAGAAAAGCUAGAGAUGUCAGCGGUGACAGGCAACACAAGCCUUAAGGUAGGCAUUGACUCGUACAAGUCCCAGCAUCUGAAAAGAAUCCCUUUGCACUCAAGAACACUUUUUUUCUCUUCAACUUUGUGAAUCUAAAACUUCACUUUUGUGCAGUUACUGAAAACUCUGAAAUACAUAACUCCUCUGUGUACCCCAAACCCAGUAAUGUGGCUGUAACCUGCUGUGCCUUCAGGGAGCCCGCAGCAGAAACUGCUUAAGCUACUGUAGCUGGCUCCAUGCUAAUCACUGUGUGGUUAUGUGGCUAUACUACUGAGCUGCCUAAAUCAGGGGGUGAAGCAGCAACCAGCUGUAAACUCGUAUGUACAGACAUCUCCAAGGUCUCAUUUCAGAAGUGCAGGAUGAUUUGUCUGGGUGUCACUCUGCUCUGUAUUCACUGCACUUUUUGUGCCUGAGCAGUAAGCAGAAACGGAGCUGCAGGAGUCGUAGGGAAGAAGAGCACACAGCCUGGAGAGGAGCAAAUUGGAGACAUUUUCAAGACAGUGUUUGUGGGACUGCAGGAUUUUUUUUCUUUGUGGAUUAUAACUGCUUCAAAGUAUUAAUUUUGUCUUCUGACAUCACAUAGUGACUAUCAUACCUUUGAGUACCACCACCAUGUAUCUUGCUGCAGAGUCGAGGGAAGGUAGGCAGGUCUGCAAGUAUCACUUUAAAUCCUCUUAUCAGCUUGGUGAGGGAUUUACGUGUUUAGCAAUUUCUGGUACAGCUUUAAUGGAGCGGUUCUACGUUGGGGGGUCCUUUGAGGCUGCGAGUGGAAAACUGGACAUGAAGCAAUACUGAAGCAUUGUCAGAAUCGAUUGUCGCUCGUCUGGCUUUGCUGGGCAGGAGGGCAGCAGGUUCCUAAAGGGCACUUGGGAGUUGCUGUCGCAGGUUUGGGUACAUGUGGUUCAGCUGGCCUUUGUCGGCCCUGCCUCUGGCAAAGCUGCAUUGCCUACAGCAGCUGCACCAAGCAAAGUGUGCAGGGCCUGGCCCUACCUCCUGUUAUAGGGGCCUGGGACAAUUAAAUGACGGCUUAGGUGCAUCCCCUCUUUGCCAUCAGGCUUCUGACUGCGGUGUAGGCAUGCCCUCUGCUUUUCCAGGUGUUUCCCUUUCAGGCAUAUCCCAACAAGUAUAUUAAUGAUGGAAACUCUUGUGGACCCGACAGUUUUGUGAAACUCUUAGGUCUCUAUACUUUGAUUCUCAGUAUUAAUGUUUUCUUUCUGUUUUAACCAGAAGAAUGGGGACAGCGGAGUCCUCCCCAUCACACGGAGCUGUAAAGCAUCGCAUGUAGGCAGCUGUUGGUUUUUUCUCUUUUCCCACUUCUGUCCACUUGUUCCUUGUACUCAUUCCUUACAGUUUCUUUUUCUCUCACUCUGUUUCAAUGCCUCCUAAACUUCGGCAUUGUCACUGCUGCAGGUUUCUGUGCUUGGUUGGCACUUUUCGUAUCUGAUUAGGUCAAUAACCACGACAUAGCACUGGCUGUGUGUUGAACAGAGCAGUAGGCAGUUGCGGAAGCUAACAGUAACAAAUGAUUAAUGCAUGAGUUGAGUGAAGGGCCUGCGUUUGAUGGAGACCCCAGCUGGGGGGGAGGGGGAGGGAACCUGGCUGGCACGGGGAGGUGGGAUGCAGUUUUCAUCUGGUGGGCGACCAAAAAGCCAAGUGCGACUGACCCGAAUUGCCAGUGGUUUGAACUCCUGUAGCUCUCUGAAUUCAGGAAGAAUUCCUCAUGCAUGGCAUGUGUCUGCCCAAGUAGCUUUUGAGGGAAGGACCUCUUGGUCCCACACCAGUCCCUGUGACCUGGUGCUGCGGUUUGCAGUCCUGUGGCACUGAGGAAGCAGUGUGGUAAGGGCAGGGCAGGAGGGCAGCAGGUUCCUAAAAGGGCACAGGCUGCACUGCUCAGUGUAGCUGGAAAUCACCUCUGGUGUUUUCAGGGGUGCAGACUAGGCACGCUCGUUCAUGACUAAAGCUGUUCACCAGACUGCAGAAAAAAUAGCUGGCGUUUCCAUGAGGUGCUGCUUUUCUCAAGAGGUUGGCAGGAGCUCCUCUGAUGCAGCUGGCCAUGCACCCCGUCAGGUCUUCUGAAGGAGCCAGGAAACACGACCCUGGAUCAAGGGGUCAGAGCCAGUCAGAAGCCACCACACUUAAAGCUGAGGUGCCAGAAGCGGUGGCUCUGCAGAGCAGGAGGUAGCUGGGUGAGAGCAGAAACCAUGCUGCAGCGCCCGCAGCGCAAGCCCCGCACUGGGACCCUGUGCAUCAGCACUCCCAGGGUGACAGCCCCUGUGGCGGGGACUGUCCCUGAAAGCCUGCACCAAGGGCCAGGUCACUGUGAGGCCAUCCAAACCCUGCCUCUGAAACACGUUUAGUGCCUGAAACUGGCUUCCGACACCACCACUGGUCCUUGCUUCGUAAAAAUGUAUUUUGUCCAAAAUUGUACUCCCCUGCUUCACCAAGCCAAGAAACAAAAUUCUUUCCAAUGUUGUAUUUCAUCAAAAUGCUUUAAUGAAAAACAGUUUUUAAAAUUAAAACAUUUUGAGCAGAAAUUAAAAUUUCUCCAUUGUCAAAGUAUCAAUCCGUAAUUUCUCCAAUAUCCAAGUAUCAAGCAGUGUAGUGCUACAGGAUCAAGGUGAAGCUGCAGCAAGCACCAUGAGUUCCUCAGUUGUGCUUGCUUUGCAAUCCCUUUCCAGGUAUCAUCUCUUCCCAGGCCUUUUCCUGCAUGCGUAUAAAUGUAUAUAUUCUAUUUGCUCUGUUAACAAAUCAUGAGGAAGCAGUAGGAGCUCAGACCCACAGCUCUUUCUCUUCCAUUGAACUUUUCUCUGUUAUUCUUGGGGAAGCUGAGCAGGGGUCAAGCCCAGCUAGGGAAAUGAGGUCUGGGGCUAUGGAAAACUCGGACCCCAGCGCCACCUCCUAUUAUAUAGAUAUAAAUGGAAUGGAAAAUUAUUUCGAAUAAAAGUGCACUGCCCUCUGAGAAAUGUUCUCACAGAACUGCCUCUGAGAGUGUCUUAACUCUUUAUCAGAGCACGGGGCUGUGCCGGGGGGAGGACUUCCCUGACGCAGCACAGCCAGCACAGGCUGAGUGCGAGGGACGUGCCUGCAGCCAGCACCCAGUGGAGCGGCCAAGCAGCCGUGCUGCUUUCCAGGCACAGCUGGAGGGCGAUUCCCUUCUCCUUCCCUCUUCCCUCUUGCAGGUGGUGAAGCUGCAUCAGCAUCACCCGCUGGCCCAGCCAGCACUGCGCCAGCAUCCCUGGGCUGGGUUUGGGCUUCUCCUCCUCCAAGGGCUGCGGGAGCAGUGCAGGCACAGCCUGAGCGCACCCAGUGCCACCCAAAUUUUUGAGAACAUCACAGUCAGCAGCAUGGUGCUAGACUCACACAGCAAGGCAGCAGCAGGGACAUGCACCAGCCGUUCUCUGUCCCCACUUCAACGCCAGUCCAUUUGCAUCUCUCUGCACGUGAGAGCAAAGCACUCAUCAUCAUGGACAGAAAGAGAAGCAGAGGAGAUCCCGUCCUGCGGUGCCUGGACAGUGCCGCGUGCUGCAGAUAGCACACAAACAGGCGAGGGGUGCAGGGUGAGCGGUGGCUGAGUGACAGGGUGCAAGGAACAGGGGGAGGCAGGGGAAGGAGCAAAGCCAUUGUGACACUGCAGCUCCUGGUCACUAGCCUGGCCUCCUUUGUCACUUGUCACUGGCAGCCCCAUCACCUCCCUCUCCGCUAGCAGCAAGGCAGCUAAGUGCCAUUCUGAAGAGGAGGACAGAUGUCAGGCAUGAGCUGGUCUGCAGGUUCGGGAGUGCUGUUCAGCCUAAAGUAAUGAAGAGAGACUUCCUGAGCUCCCUACAGAACAAAGGCAGAGAGAGUGUUAUGUCCUGAAGCUGUACGUUUCUGUGUUUACAUACUGCUGUAAUUGUUAUUAAAUUUUACCAAGUACUUAU